AGUAGGUCCUUGCGAUAUGUGCAGUGUCAGCUGUGCUGGUUCAGGGUCACCUCGUGAGGAGAGCAGCCGAUGACACUGAUCCAAACCUUCCGUACUCUGUCAACUACGACCACACGGAUGAACAUGGUACGCGAAUCUACAGCCUUGAGAUCACGGACGCCGACAACGUUCGUAUGGGCAGGUACGGCUACAUGGACGCGAAGGGCCUGUACCGCCAUGUUCACUACCUGGCAGACACUACAGGCUUCCAUGUGUUCGUGUGCACCAACGAACCUGGCACCGAGACCUCCCACCCCGGCGAUGCCGUCAUUCACAUGCAUCACUGGGAGAAGGUAGACCCAGACUCGACUCUAGGAAGGUUGCUCGCCAAGCUACCGCAAAUCACUUCACUUACGACUAGUGGCAACGGCAAGAAAAAAAGGGCGCCGCAGCAAAAUAACAGAUGCAAAUCUGGAUAUAGGGACAAUUGCAGAGCGUAAAUUAACGCCACGAAUGUGACCUCGGAGCUUCAAAAAACCACAUAGCUAUUGAUGUCUGUUGCAUAAUCAUGUGGUGGGCAUUCCCAUUCUACUCCGACUGAGGUUACACAUCUCGUGAUGCCAUAAGUGCCGCAACUCUGGUUUACACACCCUAUAACUUGUAGAGGAAUAUUAGUAGGGCUGUCUAUAUAUAGCGUUUCUGAACAUCGUUGCGUGAUGUACAACCUCUGCUUUAGUACAAAUGCUUGCGAUAACGAAUAGCUGGGCAAGUUGGUGAAGCAGUGCUUGACAGCCAAUACUAAAGGAAAGAAAACACACAUGAGCAAUGACACAUGGCACAUAUUUUUUUACUUCUCAUUUCUCCGCAUUCGUUGUCUAGCGCUGCCUAACGAUAAUUAAUAACCCAAAUUGUUUUGCCUUCAAAGGGAAAGAAUAAAUGAUUCAAUAAAUUUUAA